rnacentral:rRNA from 1 species
AACUAACGCUGGCGGCGUGCCUAACACAUGCAAGUCGUACGAGAAAGUUGGCUUCGGCCGAUGAGUAAAGUGGCGCACGGGUGAGUAAUGCGUGGAUAAUCUGCCCUUUAGUUGGGAAUAACGUACCGAAAGGUGCGCUAAUACCUGAUAAUACUGCAUAACUACUGUUGUGUAGUCAAAGAAGGCCUCUGUUUACAAGCUUUUGCUGAAGGAUGAGUCCGCGUACCAUUAGCUGGUUGGUGGGGUAAUGGCCUACCAAGGCUACGAUGGUUAGCUGGUCUGAGAGGAUGAUCAGCCACACUGGAACUGAGACACGGUCCAGACUCCUACGGGAGGCAGCAGUGAGGAAUAUUGCGCAAUGGGGGCAACCCUGACGCAGCAACGCCGCGUGAGUGAGGAAGGUUUUCGGACCGUAAAGCUCUGUCGAGCGGGAAGAAAUGUAUCAUGGCGUAAUAUCCAUGAUACUUGACGGUACCGCUAAAAGGAGAC